CAGAGGGUGCAAGCGUUGUUCGGAAUUACUGGGCGUAAAGCGCGUGUAGGCGGUCUAGCAAGUCGGGUGUGAAAUCCCUUGGCUUAACCAAGGAACUGCAUUCGAAACUACUAAACUUGAGUAUCGGAGGGGAUGGCGGAAUUCCCGGUGUAGAGGUGAAAUUCGUAGAUAUCGGGAGGAACACCUGUGGCGAAGGCGGCCAUCUGGAAGAUUACUGACGUUGAGACGCGAAAGCGUGGGGAGCAAACAGGAUUAGAUACCCUGGUAGUCCACGCCGUAAACGAUGAGUGCUAGGUGUUGCGGGUAUUGACCCCUGCAGUGCCAAAGCUAACGCGUUAAGCACUCCGCCUGGGGAGUACGGUCGCAAGAUUA
rnacentral:rRNA from 1 species